AUACCUUGAUGUAAAAGCUGAGAACCACAUUUGAGAAUCACAUCUCUUCCAGAACAGUAAUGGAAGGUUCCAGUUUCAGUCAACACUGGUCAGGAGGUGGAGAGUUAAGAGGAAUACCAGUAUAUUGCAAACUGAAGCUACAUCAGAAGAAAAAAGCAAGGAGCAACAACAAGUAAUAAGGAAAUGAAAGGGCCAGACAGCUGCAGUGGGAAAAUACAUUCAAAACAAGCAAAUGAAAAGCCAAUGAAGAAUUCAUCUCAGGAUGAAAAAAAUCUGGCUGAUGGCUGCUCUGAAAAGACCGCUUCAGUACUGGAUCAGUGGAUCCAGUUGUUACUGCUUUUCUAGAUUAUGAGACAGCUGUUAUUGGAGAUAUGUCUUCAUAUUGGUCUCAAUGAUAAAGGAACAAGAAAUCACAUUACUUCAGCCCUUGUUACGUCAUCAUCACCAGACCCAUAGAACUUUCAGAGAUAUCAGGAUUUACAGAAGGAUCUUCUAAUGAAGGAAAAAGCUAUUAAAUCAACAGAUCUUUGCAGAGAUGACUGAGAUUCUUCACUAUUUAAGCAAUUUUCAAGAGGAUUAUAUGGUGGCUUAAUUGCAGCUGUUACAUGCAAAACAAUUAGUCAGAUAACCAUGCUAGAAUUGGAAAUGUAAGAUGAUUUAAUUCUAGUGGUCUAAAAAGAAAAUUGCUUUGUUAUUUUGUGAGUAGUCUUAUCUCAUUUUCCAUUAUAACUUAAACUUUGAAUCCACCUUUCAAACAGUAUGCAAGGCAGUUCUUAAAUUAUAGCAAAGGUUUUAUUGUUGUUGCUGUUGUUUACCAGUUUUCAAAGUAUUUGGAAAAUGCAUUCCAGAGGGAAAUGCAAUCAUUUCUGUACAUAUUAUACACCUCCUAUUCACUAUAUUUGGCACCUGUCUACUUGGUAGGCCAAACAAAGCUUAUUCUCUAACAUAAAUGUGAAAAGCUGUGUAAGAGCUUUGUAAAAUUUUAAAAGCAUCAUUAAAGUUAAUCUAGAUCAGUACUCCUACUAUCAUAUGAUUCACACUAAAAAUGGACUUCUUACUCUGCAAUUUCAAGCUAACAUACAUUAAUGUCUAGGUAAGAAUGUUAUAAGAAAUGUCAAAACUUAUAACAGAAACAUUUCUAUGUAGAAUUUAAUUUACCCUUCCAUUUGACAUUCCAAAGAGUAGUUCUCAGAGGCAAUACAUGACCAUAUUUUGUAUUCUUACUGUGCACUUACCUUUUGAAUUAAAAAAAAAAAAAAAGACAACCUUUUAUGGAAAGAUAACUGUAAUCACAGUCAAGCAUUCUGUGCCUAGCUGUAUUUCUGUUUAUGAACAUAAUUUGGACCUCUUCCAUAUAAGGUUUCUGAACUGUUUGGUCACCUGGGGACAGAAGGAUUUGAGUCCUCAGUUGCAUGAUCACCCAGAGAGCUAUCAUUUCUUGAAGCACCAUAAUGAUAUUUGUAAAAUGUAAGUCUGACUAUUCUGACACUUAAAAUAAUUUUGAAGUGUGCAUGAGGUAACUAGCAGGGAAACGGAAAUAGCAAGAAGUUUGACAACUGUAUGUGAGGUUUCUGACUUCAUGAAUCCAAUAACUGCAUUUUUGAAGGGUUUCUGUAUAUAAACUGUAUGAUCAGAUAAGAUAGUGGUAACUUCCAUGUUUUCCCUGAAAAACAAAACAAACAAACAAACAAACAAAAACUUUCACAAUUUACUCUAAUUCUUAUCAAGUAAACCAAAGAAAUCUAAAAAAAUAUAAGGUAUGGUAAAUUCAAAACUGAGCCACUUAUUCUCUCUUAUUUGCAGAACACAGUUAGCAGCAAGUGUCACAAAUAGGGAAGACAAAGAGAAGAGUCUGUCUUCAACUUUUUAGGAAGAUCUAACACUAAGGUAGCACUAAGACAACAAAGUACUACAGGGCAAAAUUGUAAAGUGAAACAGAAUAAUUUUCAAUCUUGACAAUGAGGAAUUCCAAUCAGUGAUCAUAAAACUAGGUAGAACAGCAAAGUGACAGGUUUAUGACAAUGUAGACAACUGCAAUGCAAAACACUUUUGAAAGAUUUUGCCCUUCAAAAUGUGUCUUUCUCUAUGAGUUAUUCCAAUCAGGAUAGAAAUUCCAUACAGAGAUUCUUGACAACAAUUUGAAAACAGACACUAAAAAAACACUAAAAAUACCAUAACUGUCCAAAUAAGAAGAAAUUAUUCAAAAUGAAAUACCUGCAAAUAUUAAGCUGGAUAUAAAAAAUAUGAUAUUCUAAUGUUCUUUUAUUUAUCUUGUGAUAAACGCACACAUAUCUCCCUAUUGAUGGCCUCUACAUGAAAAGCAAAAUAAAAUAAAAAGAUAAAUAACUAUUUUUCAAGGAUAUGCUUGUAAGAAAACUGCUAUAAGUAUGGAGCCAUAAAAUCUGUAGAAGACAUAACAUUAAUAAACAUUACAUUAGU
rnacentral:lncRNA from 7 species